rnacentral:misc_RNA from 1 species
GGAGGGAUCAUUAGCUGCUGUCCGCGAGCAAUAGAGAUAGGGAGGCUCUCUAGUGUGGGUCACACAGGGAGCAGGAGGAGAGGAGAGAGUCGCAGGCCGUGGGGGGAUCGGUCGUGCAAUAUCGUCGCGGGCCGUGGGGGGAUCGGUUGCGCAAUAUCGCCGCGGGCCGUGGGGGGAUCGGUCGCGCAACAUCGAAAAUGGGCAAGCCCUUACGAGGGCUUGCUCAUCGCCUCUGAAUCCCCAUGUUUGGAAUCGGUUUUCGCCCUUUCUGGACACUGGGUUACGACAUCUGUCAGCAGUGGAUAUCUUGGCUCCCACGACGAUGAAGAGCGCAGUAAUUUGCGAAACACAAUGUGAAUUGCAGAGCUACGUGAAUCAUCUAGGUCUUGAACGCAUCUUGCACCUGGGCCUUCGGGCUCAGGUCGGUCCAGUUGAGCGCCGCAUUCACACUUUAUCAUAGCACCGUUGGGAAACCAAUGCUAUGCGAUUGGGCUUCGCCUUCUGGGCGGGUCUUAAAUCCUUGCAAUCACUGACGUUUGGAUGAUUAGAGUUGCCCUCGGGUGAUCCUUCUUGUCCAGAUCCUAACUCCGUGCGGGGGAAGGCUUCCACGGCCUAAUGAUCUCGCUCGGGGCGGCUAAUAUAUCUCAUCAGGGGGGAGGGACGGUGGGCCCAAUGAUCUCUCUGGUGGAUAGGUCAGUGCUUGCGAACAUGUACGACCUAACAUGCUGGUCUGCCUUUAGGCAUUGAUUCCAUGUGAGCAGUCUAUCAAACGAUUGCAUUACCGGCAUCAACUUGGAUCAGUCUACCCACAGAACUUAAGCAUAUCAAUAUGUGGAGGAAAAGAAACCAACAGGGAUUCCCUUAGUAAGGGCGACUGAACCGGGAAAAGCUCAAACUUAAAAUCGGCAGGGGUAACACCCUGUCCGAAUUGUAGUUUUGCGAGUGGCUUCGGGAGUGGACCAGGUCUAAGUUUCCUGGAAUGGAACGCCAUAGAAGGUGAUAGCCCUGUGAGGCUUGGCACCCGCUCCCAUAUGUUGUCACUUCGAGGAGUCACACUAUUUGAGAGUAUAGUGUAAAGUAGGUGGUAAGCUCCAUCUAAAGCUAAAUACUUGUGGGAGACCGAUAGCGAACAAGUACCGCGAGGGAAAGAUCAAAAGAACUCUGGAAAGAGAGUUAAAAGUGCUUGAAACUGCUGACAGCGAAGCGGUUGCGGCCAUCACCCUAUGGGGAGGUGACGAAUCAGUUGCGCUUCAAUGAUGACGCACCGGACUGUCCAGGUUCCGCAAGGGAUUAAACAGUCUGUUGUUGAGUUGUUGCUGCGAUGCACUUCGUCAUUUCUUCGGGCAGCAUCAGUGGAUGGUGUGAGAGAAAGACUGAAGGGGGGUACCAGGCAUCUGCCUGGGAGUACCUUCGGCCCGGAUCAAUGAUCGCUGUCCACUGACGGAUUCACUGGAUCCCUGCGCCUCUCCGCAACGCGAAGCGUAUCGUUGUUCUGACGGCUGCUGAUCGAAGCAAUUCGGGCGGUGGUUUGUUGGGGCGGCGGUGCGUUAGCGUUUGGAGGUGCCAGAUGCUGAAUGUGAAGGCACCAACCGUCCCGUCUUGAAACACGGACCAAGGAGUGCAGAGUGUGUGCGAGUCAAAGGAGUUCAACUCUGGAGGCGAAGCGAAAGCGUUUGUGUGAUCGCGUGGCUCGUCCAUUCGUGCAACACAACCCCGACCACAACACUUCGUGGGGUGGCUCGAGGUGGAGCAUACACUUUGCGACCCGAAAGACCGCGAACUUUGCCUGUGCAGGAUGAAGCCAGAAGAAAUUCUGGUGGAGGUCCGUAGCGGUUCUGACGUGCAAAUCGAUCGUCAAACUUGGGCAAAGCGGCGAAAGACUAAUCGAGCGGUCUAGUAGCUGGUUCCCCC